rnacentral:tRNA from 1 species
GCGGGCGUGGCGGAACCGGUAGACGCGCGGGUCUCAAAAACCCGUUCCUUCGGGAGUGUGAGUUCGAGUCUCACCGCCCGCACCA